rnacentral:rRNA from 1 species
CAUAUCAAUAAGCGGAGGAAAAGAAACCAACAGGGAUUGCCCUAGUAACGGCGAGUGAAGCGGCAACAGCUCAAAUUUGAAAUCUGGCGCAAGCCCGAGUUGUAAUUUGUAGAGGAUGCUUCUGGGUAGCGACCGAUCUAAGUUCCUUGGAACAGGACGUCAUAGAGGGUGAGAAUCCCGUAUGUGACCGGCCCGCACCCUUUACGUAGCUCCUUCGACGAGUCGAGUUGUUUGGGAAUGCAGCUCUAAAUGGGAGGUAAAUUUCUUCUAAAGCUAAAUACCGGCCAGAGACCGAUAGCGCACAAGUAGAGUGAUCGAAAGAUGAAAAGUACUUUGGAAAGAGAGUUAAAAAGCACGUGAAAUUGUUGAAAGGGAAGCGCCUGCAACCAGACUUCGCGGCAGUGUUCCGCCGGUCUUCUGACCGGUUCAUUCUCUGUCGCGAGGCCAUCAUCGUCUGGGCCCGCCGGAUAAGACCUGAGGAAUGUGGCUCCCCCUCGGGGGAGUGUUAUAGCCUCUGGUGAUGCGGCGUGGCUCGGGCGAGGUCCGCGCUUCGGCAAGGAUGAUGGCGUAAUGGUUGUCGGCGGCCCGUCUUGAAACACGGACCAAGGAGUCUAACAUCUAUGC